ensembl:lncRNA
GGUUUUCGUACAGCGCCCUUUGCUGAUCUGUCAUAGUGUGGGAGCUGGCAGCACAGUACUAGACAGACCAUACAGUACUAGACAGACCAGACAGACCACACAGUACCAGGCAGACUAGACAGACCAGACAGACCAUACAGUACCAGGCAGACUAGACAGACCAGACAGACCAGACAGUACCAGACAGACCAUACAGUACUAGACAGACCAGACAGACCAGACAGUACCAGACAGACUAGACAGGCCAGAGAGACUAGACAGACCAGACAGACCAUACAGUACCAGGCAGACUAGACAGUACUAGACAGACUAGACAGACCAGACAGACCAGACAGUACCAGACAGACUAGACAGACCAGACAGACCAGACAGUACCAGACAGACUAGACAGACCAGACAGACUAGACAGACCAGACAGACCAGACAGUACCAGACAGACUAGACAGGCCAGAGAGACGAGACAGACCAGACAGACCAUACAGUACCAGGCAGACUAGACAGUACUAGACAGACUAGACAGACCAGACAGACCAGACAGUACCAGACAGACUAGACAGACCAGACAGCCUAGACAGACCAGACAGUACCAGACAGACCAGACAGUACUAGACAGACCAUACAGUACUAGACAGACCAGACAGACUAGACAGACCAGACAGUACUAGACAGACCAUACAGUACCAGACAGACCAGACAGUACCAGACAGUACCAGACAGACCAGACAGUACCAGACAGUACUAGGCAGACCAGACAGUACCAGACAGUACUAGGCAGACCAGACAGACCAGACAGUACUAGGCAGUACCAGACAGUACCAGACAGACUAGACAGACCAGACAGACCAGACAGACCAGACAGUACCAGACAUACCAGACAGUACCAGGCAGACCAGACAGUACUAGACAGUACCAGACAGUACUAGACAGACCAGACAGAACAGACAGUACUAGACAGUACCAGACAGUACUAGACAGUACUAGACAGUACCAGACAGACCAGACAGUACUAGGCAGACCAGACAGUACCAGACAGUACUAGACAGACCAGACAGACCAGACAGUACCAGACAGUACUAGACAGACCAGACAGACCAGACAGUACCAGACAGUACUAGACAGUACCAGACAGACCAGACAGACCAGACAGACCAGACAGUACUAGACAGUACCAGACAGUACUAGACAGAACAGACAUACCAGACAGUACCAGACAGUACCAGACAGUACCAGAAAGACCAGACAGUACCAGACAGUACCAGACAGUACCAGACAGAACAGACAGUACCAGACAGUACCAGACAGUACCAGAAAGACCAGACAGUACCAGACAGUACCAGACAGACCAGACAGUACUAGACAGACCAGACAGUACCAGAAAGACCAGACAGUACCAGACAGUACCAGACAGACCAGACAUACACACUGACUCCAGCAUCAUCCCCAGACUAUCUGGUAUGGUAUUAUAGCUAAUCUCCUUUUGCCAAGAGGCUCAGAGAAAAUACUACUGUUUAAGAGCUCAGGGAUUGCUGGGGGAAAAAAAAUGUGACAAUCUCUUUUUCCCCACACAAAUAUGUC